GUCCCUUCGUAGGUGACUGCUCAUCACAUAGAGAAGCUCUGCCACUUCCUGCCCCACCCCUGUGGAUCUUCUCCGCACCUGCCCUAGUGCCGCUCCAUCCCUCCGGGCUCCUCAUUCCAGAGCCAACCCAGGUACCCUGACUCAGCAAAGUAACAAUGAACAUCCUCCUCCUCCAGGAAGCCUUCCAGGAUUGGACUGCCUUAAGGAACUUCUUCCCACUGUCUUUCUCCAAGGUGUGGCUGGAGCUAAGAGGGAGCCUGGAGAGAGAAGACUUGUCCAAACACCCCUGUUUUAAAUAUGGGUGGGUUAAAUCCAGGAUGCUCAGUUAAAUCUGAAUUUUAGAUAAACAGUAUG
rnacentral:lncRNA from 1 species